CGGCAUGGUGUGCUCCGUUCGAAUGACUUGUGGAAUCUGACAGGGCUGACAUCCACAACUAUCCCAAUGACAUCUAGAAAUGGAUAAAAGUUAUAAACUGCAUAGUCUGAAAUUAUAAGAAGUGUGAACAAGUUAAAAAGAUGUACACACCUGUGAGCAUUUUGUUUCUAAGUCUUGCUAUAUCGCUGAAAUCCAUGAACCGUGACGGCAGGCAAGGGAUGUCAAUGCUAGGCCCAGCUGGACGAAUCUGGGUCCGAGAGUGCAUGAUGAUGUAAUAAUCGCUUGGUAUGGCCAAUCCAAGCUGCGGUGGCAUAUCCGCCGGCUGGAACCCCAGACCUCUGAUUAAGUAUACCUCGCCAAUCCGCAGCUCGUUCUUGAAACGGUUUGCAUGCUGCCCAUAUGCUACUGCUUCCAUUUUGUCCCCCUAUCAAAGAAAGCCAAGAUUAUUUUACUUUGUUAGAAAACAGGUUUGAUCUUCUAAAAGAUACAAUCAAAGCAUAGUUCUUUGUUCUGGUUUUUAAAACAACUAUUUAGACGCGGUUGGUCCUAUAAAUUUUUGCUAGUUGUGAUGCCUUUUCAUGCAUGCACUGAUGGACAUUGUUGACUGUACAUUAAAGUUACAGUACCGUGCAUCAGACUCUAGUUUGCAUCAGAAUCUACCUUGGUGAGAUAAAAUGCGAAAUAAUUCUGCACUGUGCACCUGAUGCAGCAAACCAGAGAGGAGAAAAUAGCAAUGCAUAUGGAUAAUUUCAAUGAAUACAUCACGUCCAUGUACUGCAUUAUCUGCUAGCAUAGUUAUGCACAAGCAAAGAUAGAGCUGGGCAGUAGAUUGUCUAUAGAAGAGCAGAGGAAUAGGGAUAAUGUGGCACAAAAAUAAUUCUCACAGAUUGGUCAACGAGGAUGCCUCGGUACAUAACAUCUCCAUUUCUAGUAUAUCUGAUUCGUCCAGAAAUAAUUCUUGCAGUUGUCUCCCAUGAACUGCUGUACGUGUGCAACUCCUCGACAUUGCGGAAUCUUAUAUAGCUGCUAUAUAAGAAAGAGAAACAUGGGAAAAAUGAUUAUCCAUGAGUUGGGUAAUAAUUUCUGAUGGUAUUGAUGCAGGAGAGAAAUCGCACCUUGUGAUUGGAGGAGGCAAGAUGGCGGGAGCCGGGACCAGGACAGAUGAGAUAUCGCAGUUACCUUGUGAUUGGAGGAGGCAAGACGGCGGGAGCUGGCACCGGGGAGUGCAGGACUCGAGUUUACCUGGUGAUUGGAGGAGGCAAGACGGCAGGAGCUAGGACAGGUGACGGUGCCAUCACCCUCUUCGAGCCUGGGCAACCGAGAAUGUAUCGAGUCGCCAUGGCGGUAGCUUCAGGACAGGUCAGCUGGAAGGAUCAAGUGGGGGUGUAAGACCAGCUCGAGCGUGAUGGGCAGGCGGGAAGCACAAAAAUUGGUUUUGGCGCCUAUAUAUAUGCUGAUAGGACGGUAAUGGUGGAAGAAAUUUUUGGUGAAGUAAUGGUGGUUGAUGAUGGCGAUAAUUUAGUUGUAGUUGAGCGAUGUUUCUGGAAGCGAUGCUGGGAGAGGAUGAAGCUUCGUUUCUGGGAGCGAUGCUGGGACAGGGCGAAGGGAAGGACCAAGUUGGGCUUGGGCUUGGCCCAGUUAGGAUGGUGCAGGGCGAUUGUAAAGGAGGGGACGAAGGAACGACGACGAAGCGUACGUACCGCCUGAUGACGGAACUUGUUCCCCCUUUUUAAGUAGUAG